rnacentral:misc_RNA from 1 species
GAUGAAGAACGCAGCAAAAUGCGAUAAGUAAUGUGAAUUACAGAAUUCAGUGAAUCAUCGAAUCUUUGAACGCACAUUGCGCCCGCCAGUAUUCUGGCGGGCAUGCCUGUUCGAGCGUCAUUUCAACCCUCAAGCACAGCUUGGUGUUGGGACUCGCGUUAAUUCGCGUUCCCCAAAUUGAUUGGCGGUCACGUCGAGCUUCCAUAGCGUAGUAGUAAAACCCUCGUUACUGGUAAUCGUCGCGGCCACGCCGUUAAACCCCAACUUCUGAAUGUUGACCUCGGAUCAGGUAGGAAUACCCGCUGAACUUAAGCAUAUCAAUAAGCGGAGGA